CUUGAUAUAAAAAGUUGAUUUCUUUGAUGUAAAAAGGAAAUGAUAUGCACGAACUUAAGUGUGUGUUGUUUUUUCGUGUAAGGAGAUUGUUAAAUGGUGAUAAAGUAAAUUUUUCGAAGUAAUAAAAUAGAGUAGAACACUUGAGAAAUGCACAAGCUUGAAAGUGUGGUUAUGUUUUUUGGUUAUAAGAAAUAUCAUUGAAAGGUGUUUUUUGAGUUAGAAUAGACAUUAUUGAAUGAUUAGAAGAUUAAAAAGAUGCAUAAAUCUACACAUUUGGCAAUGAAAGAGGAUGGCGCGAGCAGUCAAAGGUCUCUGCACGAUUUGCAUUGCCACGCAUGCGAGGGACUCGCGUAUUUGCAAAUAUAAUUGCACCGGUUCGAUACGCGAGCUUUUUCACCCAGGCUGACCUCGAUCGCAUACAGGAUUAUUACAGUGAUUCCUCGAUCGAGGUAAUUAAUUCCGUUCUGUUCGACGAUAUCUUGGAAAACGGUUCUUGGUGGUCGAUACUUUCGUGAAGAGAAUAAUUCGAUUCCUUGAAGAUCGACUUUGAAUUACAAUUAUGAGAAGAUUACUGAUGCCAAUUUCUACAAACAACACAGAUUCAUAAACAAAGAACAAACUCUUUAUCGUACAAGAACAACUAUCUUAUUCGCAGCUUAGAAUUAACCUUGAUCUAUUCUACGUAGAUAUAGUAGGAUCGAAGUUGAAGAAAUUAGCAAGACCGUUUCUCAUCGAUCACGAUAUUCAAUUAUCUACACCACGUACGUGUUUGCCAUUAUCUCGAACAUGGUUGAAACACGAGUUACAUGGUGGUGUACAAAUUCGAAACGGCAGCCCGGCACCGAGGUAGUCGGACCACCCUGUACAUAAAUAGAAGGAGGCACUACGACGUGCGCGUACGAGCGGUCCGUCCGAGUUUCUACGUUCUCUAGAGCGGCGAAGGUCACAGUUAAUCGACCGCGAGAUACAUAGUCACUCUGGUUACAGCGAGAAAAGUAACGACUAGUAUAAUUGCGGCCCUUCGUUUCCGUUUCGCCAACGUACCGGCAACGCACAAUUUCCACCGGCGAAACGAUCGAGCCUCGAACUAUCGUUUUCUGUCGAACGCAGAUGGAAAGGAAAAAGAAUAAAAAAAGAGGAAUGGAAAAGAACCGAAGAGAAGCCCUCUCUUGAAGGAUUUUAUAUUCCAAAUACAAUACGAUUUUUUAUUUUUGUGGAUCGAAAACGGAAAUCUGUGAAUUAGAAAAUUCUUGGAUGAAGAAAAAAAAUGAAAAUAGAGAAAAAGUAAAGAAAUAAAAUAGAGAAAAGAUCAAAGGAUGGUUUUCUUAAAAUUUCAAAAUUUCUUCGUACGUGGAAUACGUUUUUCGAUCUAAAAAGAAUCGAAAGUGGAAACUUGUGAAUUUGAAAGAUUUGGUUUCGAAGAUAGAGAGGAGAGGAAGUUGUUUAUUGAAGAGGCGAAUGAGGAGGAGGAGACGAGGGAAACGGCACCGUUAUCGAUACUCAUUUCUUCAUGGAAAAAAUGUUCGUCCGUUUUAAUACUCAACCGAUGCGCAAACCUUACUUAAGGGAAAUUAGUUUUUAAUUCUUAAUAUAGGGGACAUUUUAAAUAAGGAAUCGAGUAUCUAUAACCGAGAAGCUUCGAUUUUAAGUAUCGUCAAUUAUAUUCGAUCUCGAGGUAUCUUGAUAAUAUAUUCAUAUUUUAUUAUCGUUGCGAAUCGUAGACGAUAAUAAUUCUAUUAUUUUAUUACUAUUCAAAUAUAUAACAUUAUUCCUUUGCGGAUGAAUGCUGUCGUUACAACAGCGUCAAAGUUAUAGUUAAAUAAAAUUAAAUUAAGUUUUACAUAAAAUGUUCAAUAUAAUAGUAAUCAAACUUUUCAUAAAAAUAUAUAUUUUUUCUUCUUUCUAAACUUCUCCUCGUCUCACGUACGUAGAAUAUCCCAGAUCUGUCAAGAAUCAAAACUUGAAAUGGCACUCGUUCGCAAAGGAUUAAACUCUCGAUUAUUCCUGACAUCUCCAAUAUCUUCUUUCAAUCCAAACCUUUCAAUUCCGAUUCAUUCUCUCUUACGAAACAUCUCUUCACGAAAUACUUUACGUCAGAAAUUCUCGUAGAUCAGCCACGCCAAUGUCGAGACGAACGAGCACAAUUCCCGUGGCCGGAAAAUCGAUCACCGUUAGCGCCGUGAACGGCGCUGGUUCGUGAGGCUGAAUCGUAUGCCUGUGCCGAUUCGUAUAUACGUGAGAGAGGAUAACGAUAACGGGAGUGCAACGCCUGGGAAAACGAAGCGAGCGUUCGUUCGUCUUCCGUGAGAUGCGGAGGCCUGCGACGGUGUAAUACA